GAAGUCGCACAUUAGCUAAUGACAUUCUAAAUACAAUCGACCAGGUAGUAUUUUGAAAUUUAGAUCACGAAAAUGGCUAUGGGAAAAUGUUACAAGAUUUGGCAUAAAAUUAAUGGACAGGGACCGGACAGUGUUUUGCUCUAACAACGGAACCGAGACGAAGCCCUUCUCUUUGAAUCUUUAGUUAUUGCUGCUUUGGGUCCUGCUGAGGUUGACAUAGUAAAAAUGUUGUAUACAAAACUUUCUGACUCAUAGGGAUGUGUUGGUGUACUACUAGUUAAUACAGGUUUGUCAAAUGAACUAGAAUAAAAAUUGAAAAUAAUUUUGAACUUUGAUAGUUCAAUUUAUUUAGGAGAUGGGCCCUUGUAAUAUACGUUGUCUUACCAAUACCUAGUCUUGGUUACAAGUUGUGUUUCUGUUGGGAAGAUUGGGGAAUCUGAAGUUUUUCACAUCAAUCAAACAAUUUUUAUACUUUUGAAGGGGCCACAGACAGUAGAAGAAGAAAGAGUGACUGAGCUUUCGGAAGCUGUUUAACUCUGGAACAUUCUAUUUCCUCUAGUCAUCUGGUGAAGACCCAAUUGAUGCUACAUUAUGCACCCAAAAGCUUCAGCAAAAUCGUGGAACAGACAACAGAUCUACCUAUUUUUCUGGAAUAGGCUUUUGUACUUACCAUUGCAACACUAUGGAAUUGAUUUUUCUCACUGGCUGUUACGAGUUACAUGUGGCAGUGUUGAAAUCCGUACGUUGAAACCAGG